UACGUAGGUGGCAAGCGUUAUCCGGAAUUAUUGGGCGUAAAGCGCGCGCAGGCGGUUUCUUAAGUCUGAUGUGAAAGCCCACGGCUCAACCGUGGAGGGUCAUUGGAAACUGGGGAACUUGAGUGCAGAAGAGAAAAGCGGAAUUCCACGUGUAGCGGUGAAAUGCGUAGAGAUGUGGAGGAAUACCAGUGGCGAAGGCGGCUUUUUGGUCUGUAACUGACGCUGAGGCGCGAAAGCGUGGGGAGCAAACAGG
rnacentral:rRNA from 1 species